rnacentral:lncRNA from 1 species
UCAGGGUGAAAAUACCCCAUUUAUGGUGAACUUUGGUAUUUUUUGACUUUUCAGUGUCCAGUCCUGGCUGCUGUAUUCGGGGAAGUCCCCAUCGUGUGUGGUCUUCAUGAUGUAAUGUGCAGAGCCUGGCCUCUUACUACUGAUGGCUCUGAUUAUUAUGAAAUGCUGAUGGCACUGCUAUUAGAAGUUGGGGACAAGGAGACUGAAUUGGAAGAGAAUUAGAAAAGAUGUUGAGCUGCGCUUGAGAUGCCACUUGAGCGACUCUCAAGGUGCUGGCGAGCAUCA